rnacentral:lncRNA from 1 species
AUGAAAUUUACCCUUAAGUUUAAUGGCUGAUGACAACACAAAAACUCCUUUAGUAUUANUUAAGUUUAAUGGUUGAUGACAACACAAAAACUCCCUUAGUAUUAUGUAAUGAUGUGCUUUUGGUAAGUUUUAAAAUUGUUGUCCACUGCAGACACUCCUUGGCACAUGUUAGUCGACUCUCGGACAAAUAUAGUUGAUCAGGCUAUAUUCUUCCCAGUUCCGAUUACAUGUCCCAAGGCGUACUUGCACUGCACAACUUAUUCAUAAUACUUCUAAAAUUACUCGAUAUGAAACUAUUAUUAGUAUGAAACGAGUGCAUGCCUACUUUAAAAACUAAUUAAAUUUAAUUUCAAAAGUAUGACUCUCCUCAGAGUGUUUUUGCCCAGUUGAGUUUAUAGUUGU